UGAGUUUGGAAAUUGUAGAUAAUUUGUGCUGCAUGCUUAAUUUCUGAAAUAUGUGUGCAAUUUACUUCUUCUUAGGUCUAUUUAUUUAUUUUGGUUGUCAAGUAAUCUCAUGCCUUCACAUUGAGAGUCACCUUACCCUCCAAUUCACUGUAAUAUGUGGCAGCAUCCAUGAAAAAGGGUUCCAAAGUGUUUGUUGUCACAUGUGGCUAGAGUUCAAAUUAGAUGAAACUUAUAAAAUAUUUUUUGAAGAAUUUUAAGAUUCUGAACUGAAUGGUGAUUUGUUGUGCUAGAUAGUUUUCUCAGAAUAAUGGAGUCAGAAUUUCUUAAGGAGAUAUUACUGUUUCCUAGAGGGCCAGAGGCUCUACCACCUGAAAUAAGUUGAUGUUUACCG
rnacentral:lncRNA from 1 species